GACAAACGCUGGCGGCGUGCCUAAUACAUGCAAGUCGAACGACGAAAGCCUUCGGGCAAGUAAGAGUGGCGCACGGGCGAGGAACACGUAGAUAAUCUGCCCUUCAGUGGGGAAUAACUCUCCGAAAGGAGUGCUAAUACCGCAUAAGACCACAAGCUCUGCGGAGCAAGGGGUUAAAGGAUUUAUUCGCUGAAGGAUGAGUCUGCGUCCGCUUAGCUAGUUGGUGAGGUAAUGGCUUACCAAGGCCAUGAUCGGUAGAUGGUCUGAGAGGAUGAUCAUCCGCACUGGAACUGAGACACGGUCCAGACUCCUACGGGAGGCAGCAGUAGGGAAUAUUGCACAAUGGGGGAAACCCUGAUGCAGCAACGCCGCGUGAGUGAUGAAGGCUCUAGGGUCGUAAAGCUCUGUCGUAUGGGAAGAAAAAAAUGACGGUACCAUACAAGAAAGGACCGGCCAACUUCGUGCCAGCCGCCGCGGUAA
rnacentral:rRNA from 1 species